UAAGGAAUAUUGGUCAAUGGACGCAAGUCUGAACCAGCCAUGCCGCGUGAAGGAUUAAGGUCCUCUGGAUUGUAAAACUUCUUUUAUCUGGGACGAAAAAAGGCGAUUCUUCGUCACUUGACGGUACCAGAUGAAUAAGCACCGGCUAACUCCGUGCCAGCAGCCGCGGUAAUACGGAGGGGUGCAAGCGUUAUCCGGAUUCACUGGGUUUAAAGGGUGCGUAGGCGGGCAGGUAAGUCAGUGGUGAAAAUCCCUGGAGCUUAACUCCAGAACUGCCAUUGAUACUAUCUGUCUUGAAUAUUGUGGAGUAAGCGGAAUAUGUCAUGUAGCGGUGAAAUGCCUAGAUAUGACAUAGAACACCUAUUGCGAAGGCAGCUUACUACGCAUAUAUUGACGCUGAGGCACGAAAAGCGUGGGGAUCAAACAGGAUUAGAUACCCUGGUAGUCCACGCCCUAAACGGAUGGAUACUCGACAUACGCGAUACACUGUGUGUGUCUGAGCGAAAGCAUUAAGUAUCCCCACCUGGGGAAGUACGACCGCAAGGUUGAAACUCAAAUGAAUUGACGGGGUCAUAGCUGUUUCCUG
rnacentral:rRNA from 1 species